GAGCUUGGAGUGACAAUCUUGAAUCGCUCCUCGUGCGGUUGAAUCACCUUCUCCUCUUGUUUCAAUGACCUGGCUACUUCCAACAAAUCACAAUCUUCUUCGCCUUUUUUCUCUGGCAUGAUAGGUCGAAUUGUCGAAGUCAUAUAGAGGUGUAAUCAAAUCGUUAUCGGUGAGAUCAGGAGGGUGAUCACUUUGGAACGAGACAAAAUCAAAAGGAAAGAGAAUGAAAAAACGUUGCCAUUUU
rnacentral:lncRNA from 1 species